rnacentral:rRNA from 1 species
GUGGAUUAGAUACCCCAGUAGUCCACGCCGUAAACGAUGUAGACUAGCUAUCAGAAGUAUCGACCCUUCUUGUAGCGAAGCUAACGCGUUAAGUCUGCCGCCUGGGAAGUACGGUCGCAAGACUAAAACUCAAAGGAAUUGACGGGGACUCGCACAAGCGGUGGAGCAUGUGGUUUAAUUCGACGGUAAGCGAAGAACCUUACCAGGACUUGACAUCUCUAGGACCCGCCGGAAACGGUGGGGUGCCCGCAAGGGAACUAGAUGACAGGUGCUGCACGGCCGUCGACAACU